GUCUCCGGUGAGUUUUGUGGCGGGAAGCUUCUGCGCUGGUGCUUAGUAACCGACUUUCCUCCCGACUCCUGGACGACCUGCUCUUACAGCCGGCGAUCCACUCCCGGCUCUUCCCCCGGAGGUGAGCGGCCCUGUGGGCUUCCCCAGCUCCCCACUCCCAUCGCCAGAGUGCUCGCCGCGCUAGCAGCCUCGCGUUCCAGGGCUGGGGGUGCGCCGCCGGGAUCCUCUCUCCUCGCCCACGCCCCAUCUGGGGUCCCCAUUCAGCCGUCAGCCCUGUUUUGUCCCAAGGUGGUCCUAACUAGGAUCCACGUGGCCCAUCCCACGCCCACAGGUGCUGAGUUAGGCAUCCCUGCCAUGCCCUCCCAAAGCACCUUCACGAUCUCCUUCCUGUCCCAACACUUAGCGUGUUGCGUGGUAACUACCCUUUGUCUGUAAGGUUUGCCAUGUGGCCCUAGUAUCUUCCAGGGUACCUAACGCAUUGCAGAUAUUCAUGGUAUGUUUGUUAAAUAAAUGAACUUGAUAGAUUUGACCCUCAUAGAGUUAUUUGGACUUGCAAAAAGUUUGUAGUUAACUCCAAUCUGUGAUGUGGGAGAGACUUCCAGGCAGUUUGCUUUCUCUAGGGCAUGUUCUUAUAUUUCCCAUUACCCACCACCCACCCCCCUGCAAAAGGACUGGGCCUAUUUCAGGAAGGUGACUGAUACCUGCACUGUAGCACAGGGGUUGUGCAUUGUGCCUUGCAGGAACAAAAUUUUCAGUAAAGUAAAUGUUUGUUUGUUUUUGAGACGGAGUUUUGCUUUUGUUGCAGUGAGCCGAGCUUGCACUGCUGUACCCAGCCUGGGCCACAGAGCAAGACUCCAUCUCAAAAAAAAAAAAAGAAAAAGCCUGUUUAAUGCACAGGUGUGAGUGGAUUGCUUAUGGCUAUGAGAUAGGUUGAUCUCGCCCUUACCCCAGGGUCUGGUGUAUGCUGUGCUUUCCUCAGCAGUUUGUCUCUGACAUCUCUUAGAUGUCCCAACUUCAGCUGUUGGGAGAUGGUGAUGUUUUCAACCCUACUUCCUAAACAUCUGUCUGGGGUUCCUUUAGUCUUGAAUGUCUUAUGCUCAAUUAUUUGGUGUUCAGCCUCUCUUCCACGAGAGCUCCUCCAUGUUUGGAUAGCAGUUGAAGAGGUGUGUGGGUGGGCUGUUGGGAGGGAGAGGAUGGAGUGUUCAGUGCCCAUUUCUCAUUUUACAUUUUAAAGUCCUUCCUCCAACAUAGUGUGUAUUGGUCUGAAGGGGGUGAUGGGAUGCCAAAGCCUGCUCAAGUUAUGGACAUUGUGGCCACCAUGUGGCUUAAAUGAUUUUUUCUAAUUAAUAAAGUGGAAUAUAUAUUUCUA
rnacentral:sRNA from 1 species